UUAAGCGACUAAGCGUACACGGUGGAUGCCCUGGCAGUCAGAGGCGAUGAAGGACGUGCUAAUCUGCGAAAAGCGUCGGUAAGGUGAUAUGAACCGUUAUAGCCGGCGAUGUCCGAAUGGGGAAACCCAGUGCAAUUCGUUGCACUAUCGUUAACUGAAUACAUAGGUUAACGAGGCGAACCGGGGGAACUGAAACAUCUAAGUACCCCGAGGAAAAGAAAUCAACCGAGAUUCCCCCAGUAGCGGCGAGCGAACGGGGAGCAGCCCAGAGUCUGAAUCAGCUUGUGUGUUAGUGGAACGGUCUGGAAAGUCCGACGGUACAGGGUGAUAGUCCCGUACACCAAAAUGCACAGGCUGUGAACUCGAAGAGUAGGGCGGGACACGUGGUAUCCUGUCUGAAUAUGGGGGGACCAUCCUCCAAGGCUAAAUACUCCUGACUGACCGAUAGUGAACCAGUACCGUGAGGGAAAGGCGAAAAGAACCCCGGCGAGGGGAGUGAAAAAGAACCUGAAACCGUGUACGUACAAGCAGUGGGAGCACCUUCGGGUGUGACUGCGUACCUUUUGUAUAAUGGGUCAGCGACUUAUAUUCUGUAGCAAGGUUAACCGUAUAGGGGAGCCGCAGGGAAACCGAGUCUUAACUGGGCGUUAAGUUGCAGGGUAUAGACCCGAAACCCGGUGAUCUAGCCAUGGGCAGGUUGAAGGUUGGGUAACACUAACUGGAGGACCGAACCGACUAAUGUUGAAAAAUUAGCGGAUGACUUGUGGCUGGGGGUGAAAGGCCAAUCAAACCGGGAGAUAGCUGGUUCUCCCCGAAAGCUAUUUAGGUAGCGCCUCGUGAAUUCAUCUUCGGGGGUAGAGCACUGUUUCGGCUAGGGGGUCAUCCCGACUUACCAACCCGAUGCAAACUACGAAUACCGAAGAAUGUUAUCACGGGAGACACACGGCGGGUGCUAACGUCCGUCGUGAAGAGGGAAACAACCCAGACCGCCAGCUAAGGUCCCAAAGUCAUGGUUAAGUGGGAAACGAUGUGGGAAGGCACAGACAGCCAGGAUGUUGGCUUAGAAGCAGCCAUCAUUUAAAGAAAGCGUAAUAGCUCACUGGUCGAGUCGGCCUGCGCGGAAGAUGUAACGGGGCUAAACCAUGCACCGAAGCUGCGGCAGCGACACUAUGUGUUGUUGGGUAGGGGAGCGUUCUGUAAGCCUGCGAAGGUGACCUGUGAGGGUUGCUGGAGGUAUCAGAAGUGCGAAUGCUGACAUAAGUAACGAUAAAGCGGGUGAAAAGCCCGCUCGCCGGAAGACCAAGGGUUCCUGUCCAACGUUAAUCGGGGCAGGGUGAGUCGACCCCUAAGGCGAGGCCGAAAGGCGUAGUCGAUGGGAAACAGGUUAAUAUUCCUGUACUUGGUGUUACUGCGAAGGGGGGACGGAGAAGGCUAUGUUAGCCGGGCGACGGUUGUCCCGGUUUAAGCAUGUAGGCUGGUUAUCCAGGCAAAUCCGGAUAAUCAAGGCUGAGGUGUGAUGACGAGGCACUACGGUGCUGAAGUAACAAAUGCCCUGCUUCCAGGAAAAGCCUCUAAGCAUCAGGUAACAUCAAAUCGUACCCCAAACCGACACAGGUGGUCAGGUAGAGAAUACCAAGGCGCUUGAGAGAACUCGGGUGAAGGAACUAGGCAAAAUGGUGCCGUAACUUCGGGAGAAGGCACGCUGGUGUGUAGGUGAAGCCCCUGCGGGUGGAGCUGAGACCAGUCGAAGAUACCAGCUGGCUGCAACUGUUUAUUAAAAACACAGCACUGUGCAAACACGAAAGUGGACGUAUACGGUGUGACGCCUGCCCGGUGCCGGAAGGUUAAUUGAUGGGGUUAUCCGUAAGGAGAAGCUCUUGAUCGAAGCCCCGGUAAACGGCGGCCGUAACUAUAACGGUCCUAAGGUAGCGAAAUUCCUUGUCGGGUAAGUUCCGACCUGCACGAAUGGCGUAAUGAUGGCCAGGCUGUCUCCACCCGAGACUCAGUGAAAUUGAACUCGCUGUGAAGAUGCAGUGUACCCGCGGCAAGACGGAAAGACCCCGUGAACCUUUACUAUAGCUUGACACUGAACAUUGAGCCUUGAUGUGUAGGAUAGGUGGGAGGCUUUGAAGCGUGGACGCCAGUCUGCGUGGAGCCAACCUUGAAAUACCACCCUUUAAUGUUUGAUGUUCUAACGUUGGCCCCUGACCGGGGUUGCGGACAGUGUCUGGUGGGUAGUUUGACUGGGGCGGUCUCCUCCCAAAGCGUAACGGAGGAGCACGAAGGUUAGCUAAUCCUGGUCGGACAUCAGGAGGUUAGUGCAAUGGCAUAAGCUAGCUUGACUGCGAGCGUGACGGCGCGAGCAGGUGCGAAAGCAGGUCAUAGUGAUCCGGUGGUUCUGAAUGGAAGGGCCAUCGCUCAACGGAUAAAAGGUACUCCGGGGAUAACAGGCUGAUACCGCCCAAGAGUUCAUAUCGACGGCGGUGUUUGGCACCUCGAUGUCGGCUCAUCACAUCCUGGGGCUGAAGUAGGUCCCAAGGGUAUGGCUGUUCGCCAUUUAAAGUGGUACGCGAGCUGGGUUUAGAACGUCGUGAGACAGUUCGGUCCCUAUCUGCCGUGGGCGCUGGAGAAUUGAGGGGGGCUGCUCCUAGUACGAGAGGACCGGAGUGGACGCAUCACUGGUGUUCGGGUUGUCAUGCCAAUGGCACUGCCCGGUAGCUAAAUGCGGAAGAGAUAAGUGCUGAAAGCAUCUAAGCACGAAACUUGCCCCGAGAUGAGUUCUCCCUGAGACUUUAAGUCUCCUGAAGGAACGUUAAAGACGAUGACGUUGAUAGGCCGGGUGUGUAAGCGCAGCGAUGCGUUGAGCUAACCGGUACUAAUGAACCGUGAGGCUUAACCUU
rnacentral:rRNA from 1 species